rnacentral:misc_RNA from 1 species
AAUUCUCAACCACUCCAGCCUUUGCGGGUUGGAUGUGGCUUGGAUGUUGGGGGUUUCUGCGGGCCUCUCUUUUGAGGUCGGCUCCCCUGAAAUGCAUUAGCGGAACCGUUUGCGGUCCGUCGCCGGUGUGAUAAUUAUCUACGCCAUAGACGAAGGCUGCUCUCUGUCUGUUCAGCUUCUAACUGUCCCCUGUGGACAACUUUUUGAAC